AUCCUUUUUGGUUCCUAAGCGUGAUGACUGGGUGUUCACUUGCGUGUGUGAAAGGCGCCUCCCUCCAACCUUGUUGCGACCGACAUUGGCACAUCACCUGUCUAACA